rnacentral:misc_RNA from 1 species
AACAUCGCGCACCUGCGGGAACCUGCGGAGGGAUCAUUAAAGAGUUGCAAAACUCCCAACCAUUGUGAACGAACCUUUAUGCUCAGGCGAGCGGCGCUCUGUCGCUGCAAGCCGACGGCAUUAAACUCUUAAUUCAGUGAAUAUCUGAGUAGCUUAUUUAAUAAGUCAAAACUUUCAACAACGGAUCU